GAGGGACAGCGGAGCGACAGCUCCGAUCUCUGUGAGCAGGGACAGGACCCAGGGAAGGGCUGGAGCUGUGUGAGGGCAGGGUCAGGCUGGAGAUCAGGGAAAGGGUGCUGGGCACUGCCCAGGCUCCCCGGGGAACGGGCACGGCCCCGAGGCUGCCAGAGCUCCAGGAGAGUUCGGACAACGCUCCCAGUGAUGCACAGGAUUCCUUCUCCUCUUGGGCCUGGUUUCUCUCUACUCAGGUAGAUGUGAGCUGCACAAUCCCACUUGGAUUCAGCAACUCUUCCUGCUGAGUCCCUCUGCAAGGUGCAGGAAACCUGGCCUGGAAGAUAAUAACAUGAUCUGUCAAACUGUGAAAAACACUAAGGAAAACCAGGUUAUCAGAACUGUUGCUCAAGUUUAGCAGAAGGAAUUCUGUUACGUGUGAAAACUGAGGUCUUUUUGAGCUAAUCUGGCUGUUUGGGUCAGCAUGGAAAAUGAGGCACAACCAAACUCCAGCUCUCAGUAGCUUCACUCUGUCAUCGCUGAACAAAGCUGCAAUUAAAUUUCUGGGCAAUUUACAGACUUUCUGUUAGGAUGACUUUCUCUGAAGAGCACAAUUUUGAAGGACCUGAAACUUCCUGAUCUGAAGAUCCAACAAUUCAAGAAGGAGAAGGGAAAAUAAAUAAUUAAAUCUGUCUGACAAGCAAGAUGUGUCCUUAUUCAGAGAACAGGAAUACCAUUCUUUCCUUCUUUGGGGAAUACAUGAAC